rnacentral:rRNA from 1 species
CCAAUAGCGUAUAUUAAAGUUGUUGCAGUUAAAAAGCUCGUAGUUGAAUUUCAGGCCUGGCUGGACGGUCCGCCCUUCGGGUGAGUACUGUCUGUGGUCGGGUCCUACCUUCUGGCGAAGCGUCAUGGCCUUAACCGGCCGUGGCGGGGAACCAGGACUUUUACUGUGAAAAAAUUAGAGUGUUCAAAGCAGGCAAUCGCUUGGAUACAUUAGCAUGGAAUAAUGGAAUAGGAAAAUGGUUCUAUUUGUUGGUUUCUAGGACCGUUGUAAUGAUUAAUAGGGAUAGUUGGGGGCAUUAGUAUUCAAUUGUCAGAGGUGAAAUUCUUGGAUUUAUUGAAGACUAACUACUGCGAAAGCAUUUGCCAAGGAUGUUUUCAUUAAUCAAGAACGAAAGUUAGGGGAUCGAAGACGAUCAGAUACCGUCGUAGUCUUAACCAUAAACUAUGCCGACUAGGAAUCGGGCGAUGUUGAAAAAAUGACGCGCUCGGCACCUCAUG